rnacentral:rRNA from 1 species
UACGUAGGUGGCAAGCGUUGUCCGGAUUUACUGGGCGUAAAGGGCGUGCAGGCGGUUUGUUAAGUGCAGGGUGAAAGCUCCCGGCUCAACUGGGAGAGGUCCUUGCAUACUGGCGAACUCGAGGGAGGCAGAGGAAAGUGGAAUUCCCGGUGUAGAGGUGAAAUUCGUAGAUAUCGGGAGGAACACCAGUGGCGAAGGCGGCGACCUGGGCCAAUACUGACGCUGAGGUGCGAAAGCGUGGGGAGCAAACAGG